UCAUAAUUUAUAACAAAACAAAAUUUUAAGAAUCAAAACUGACCCCUUUCUAAAGCAAGUGACAAAGGGCUUAGUGAUUGAUAUUCAAGAUCCCAAAUUCGAAUCCUAGUUGAUUCAUAUUUUCAACUAAGUUUAUUUCUAAAUGAAAUAAAUGAAGCAGCUAUCGUGCUAUCUAUCUCUCUCUAAAAAAAAAAAAUUUAAGAAUCAAAGCAUCACAAACCUCAUCAUUUAAGAACCAAAA
rnacentral:lncRNA from 1 species